GUGCUGAGAACACUUGGUAAUAUGUAACACGAAGUAUAAGACGUCCAGAUUCGACCAUGUUGAAUUUCUGUUUUAAAUUUUGGAUUUCUUGAGAAAAAUUGCGAUAAUUCGACAUGUUUUUUGAUCCGGAUAAAUUUGAUGCUGUUAUAGUAAUCUUCAAGUUUCUCGCUGUAUUCUCAUGCGGCUUGCUUGCGGGACAAAGCUUGUUUCUUAGCAGGGCGCCGUUCAAAUGUCUGCUUGCCAUGGUCAAUGCUGACAAGAUAUCCUUGCGAGUAUUUCGUUUCUCUGGGACGACGGUGAACCUUUAUAUGUAUCGACUAAAUUUGCUGGCCUGUUUUGCUGGAUUUGCUGUGUUUAUGUUGGAGAUAAGAGACAGACAUUAUUGGCUGUAUGGAGUUUUGGGUUUACUUCUGGUAUUGCUUUAUACAAAGUUUUAUUUAUGUCCAAGAAUUAUUGACCAUUUGAUGGCACCAGAUUUUGCGAAGAAAAGUGAAAGUCAUACAGAAUCUAUGAUAUCUAAAUUUCAACAAAGGCACCACGGAAGGACGGUGCUCUUGUCCAUAACGUUUGUCUGGCUCAUAUACAGUCUAUAUGUCUCGUGAAAGCACAGAAUGGGAAAGAAGCAAUUGUGGGUAAAUUUUCAAACAUUCCAGGAUUCCCAAUAUUCACUAUGAUCUUGGAUUACGAAUAACAGUUCAGUCAAAACACGGAAGCCCUUGUCUCAUUUGUAAUUGUUGUCAGCAUGUUAACUGUAGACAAUAGACAAAUGCAGACAAUUGUUUUUAUGCCUUGAUGAGAACUUUUUAGAUCAUUUCAAUUUUCACAACAAUUGUGACAAGAGAACUUAAUUCAAUCCAAAAACUGCAGCAUGGUGCAUGCUGUAAUUUAAUGUAACUCCUCUAUGACAAAGUAUUGC